CUUGUUCACCCAAAGUGAUACCUGAAGAGUGGCUAAAGCCAGAAGAGGGCUGCAGAUACACACUGGAGACCUCUCUUCAUGGAGGUGGGAGGUGACAACCGGCAGCUUGAAGUAAUGAAGUCAAAGAAUUUUCAGAAGAGUUCGGAAAGAGAGAAUAGACUUGGGGUUAGAACCUUCAGGCAUAUUAGAUAUUUGAGGAAAAUCAAGAAAUCCUAGUACUGGUGACAUUCAGACAACACAAGCAUUGGCACACCCACUCCUUCUUCAUAGUGGAAAAUACAUGUACAAUUGACUCCCCCAAAACUUACCUACUAGUUGUCCACUGUUGACUAGAAGCCCUACCAAUAACAUGAACAGUUGGUUAACACAGAUUUUGUAUGUUAGAUAUAUUCUCUACUGUAUUCUUACAGUAAAGUGAGGUAGAGAAAAGUAAAUGUUAUUAAAGUUAUAAGGAAGAGAAAACAUAUUUACAUACUGUGCUCUUUUAAUAAAAAAAAAUCUGUGUGAAAGUAGACCUUUGGAGUUCAAACUCAUGUUUUUCAAGGGUCAACUACAGAGGGAAAGCAAUAAACAGGAUUCACUGGCUUUCAUAAAAAAUGAAAAGGCUGCUGUCAGAGCUUUCAAAGAUGCAAUACAGAAUGUUAUUGAAGUCAAGUCCUUAAAGAAAGCUUUGGAAGAAAAUUAUUCUAAGGACAAGUAACGUAAUGGUUAUGAUUAUGAUACAAGUAAAUGAUGGUGUGAAGUAAUUAUCUGAAGUGAGCCAACAAGAAAAGAAGCCAAAAUAUUGACAAACCAAUAAAUCAUUUAAAAGAAAAAAAAAAAAAAACAGCCCAGCUGGAACUUGGGCCCAAAUGAGUGCCCAUUUCAAAUUUUCCAUCACUGCCUUCUGAAAAAGACUUUGUAGUUCCCCCUGAACUCUAGAAGACACCAGCUGACCCCAACAUAAAAACAUUAAGUGAACAA